rnacentral:rRNA from 1 species
CCUACGGGAGGCAGCAGUGGGGAAUAUUGCACAAUGGGGGAAACCCUGAUGCAGCGACGCCGCGUGAGUGAAGAAGUAAUUCGUUAUGUAAAGCUCCAUCAGCAGGGAAGAAAAUGACGGUACCUGAGUAAGAAGCCCCGGCUAAAUACGUGCCAGCAGCCGCGGUAAGAAGGAGGGCGCAAGCGUUAUCCGGAUUUACUGGGGGUUAAGGGAGCGUAGUUGGCAGUGCAAGUCUGGAGUGAAAGGCGGGGGCUCAACCCCCGGACUGCUGUGGAAACUGUACGGCUGGAGUGCAGGAGUGGUAAGUGGAAUUCCUAGUGUAGCGGUGAAAUGCGUAGAUAUUAGGAGGAACACCAGUGGCGAAGGCAGCUUACUGGACUGUAACUGACGUUGAGGCUCGAAAGCGUGGGGAGCAAACAGGAUUAGAUACCCGUGUAGUC